AACCUCCGCAAUGUGAGAAAUCGCGACGGGGGGAUCCCAAGUGCCAUUCUUAACGGGAGGGCUUUUCAUUAGUGUAAAGAGCUUUUGGAAUAAGGGCUGGGCAAGACCGGUGCCAGCCGCCGCGGUAACACCGGCAGCUCUAGUGGUAGCAGUUUUUAUUGGGCCUAAAGCGUCCGUAGCCGGUUUAAUAAGUCUCUGGUGAAAUCCUGUAGCUUAACUGUGGGAAUUGCUGGAGAUACUAUUAGACUUGAGACCGGGAGAGGUUAGAGGUACUCCCAGGGUAGAGGUGAAAUUCUGUAAUCCUGGGAGGACCGCCUGUUGCGAAGGCGUCUAACUGGAACGGUUCUGACGGUGAGGGACGAAAGUUAGGGGCGCGAACCGGAUUAGAUACCCGGGUAGUCCUAACCGUAAACGAUGCGGACUUGGUGUUGGGUGGCUUUGAGCUGCUCCAGUGCCGAAGGGAAGCUGUUAAGUCCGCCGCCUGGGAAGUACGGUCGCAAGACUGAAACUUAAAGGAAUU
rnacentral:rRNA from 1 species